CCUGGCGGCACUAGCGCGGUGGUCCCACCUGACCCCAUGCCGAACUCAGAAGUGAAACGCCGUAGCGCCGAUGGGCGUGUGGGGUCUCCCCAUGUGAGAGUAGCGAACUGCCAGGC
rnacentral:rRNA from 1 species